GAUGAACGCUGGCGGUCUGCUUAACACAUGCAAGUCGAACGCAAGUAGCAAUACUUGAGUGGCGGACGGGUGAGUAACGCGUGAGAAUCUACCUAGAGGACUGGGAUAACAGCUGGAAACGGCUGCUAAUACCAGAUGUGCCGCAACGUGAAAGAGGUUUCCUCGCCUCUAGAAGAGCUCGCGUCUGAUUAGCUAGUUGGUGAGGUAAAGGCUCACCAAGGCUGCGAUCAGUAGCUGGUCUGAGAGGAUGACCAGCCACACUGGGACUGAGACACGGCCCAGACUCCUACGGGAGGCAGCAGUGGGGAAUUUUCCGC
rnacentral:rRNA from 1 species